UGAUGUCACAUGGUAAGACGAGGACAAGUUGUGAGAUGCUCCUAUCAAGCUCAUCUUCUAAUUUUCAAAUACACCUUGAAAAAACUCCAGACUACCCCUGGUUCCAAAGGUUUGAGUCAUGCUUGUGGCUUGCAAAACCUUGUUAGUAGUUUAUUAAACUAUUGAAUGAUGGAAAAUGGGCCUUGCAUGGUACUUAAUUAAACUCUCGGUCUUGAACCAUAUCUUCUCACCCAGCUGACUUAAGUCUCAAAUGAUGGACAUACAUGAACAAAGACAGUUCUUAUGUUCUAAGUUUUGGAAGUCAAUGGAAGUUGAGCACUACAUGAACUAUAUAUCUACUUUGGUCAUGCAUGCACUGGAGUCAGUGGCAGUUCCAUGGGUGGUCCCAUGAGUUUGAGAAAUCUUGUAAAGCUGGUUUAUGCUCAGUAGAAUGAAAUCAAAACCAGUUUGUGAUGCAGAUCAUGCCAGACUUUUCUGUGUGGUGGCCAUUUUGGAAUUCCUCUUCAAACUUUUUUGUUUCUGGAAUCAUCAUCCUGAUCAGUGGCAGUUCCAUGGGUGGUCCCAUGAGUUUGUGAAAUCUUGUGAAGCUGGUUUAUGCUCAGUAGAAUGAAAUCAAAACCAGUUUGUGAUGCAGAUCAUGCCAGAAUUUUCUGUGUGGUGGCCAUUUUGGAAUUCCUCUUCAAACCUUUUUGUUUUCUAUUCUUGCCUGCUACUUCCAAAGGUGGA
rnacentral:lncRNA from 1 species